UUUUAAAAUCUGGUUUGUCCUAAAUAUUGUUUUUUUAUUAAGAAAAAUAAUUUAAAUUUUAUAGAUUAAGUAAAUUUUAUUGAAAGAAUUUAAUAAACUAUAGUUUAAAAGUACUGUAAAGGAAAGAAGUUAUUAAUUUUGAUAGUAAUUUUAAGUUUGUACCUUGUGUAUCAGGGAAUAUUUAUAUAAGUUAAUAAUUUUUAGGUAUCUCGAAAUAAGAUAUAGCUAAUUUUGUAAAAAAUUUUUUGUAGAAAAUAAAUUUUUAAUGCAAGGUUAAAGGUGAAAUACUAGUCGAGUCUUAUAAUAUCUAGUUUUUUGAAAUUAAAUUUAAUUUUGUUCUUUUAUUAAAAAAAUAAAAGAAGUAAAUGUAGGAGGGAUUAGCUUCUUAUAUAUUUAGAUGCGGAACAGUUUAAAAUAAUAAAAUUAGUAAGUUAGGCUUAAAAGUAGCCAUAUUAAAAAAGUGUUAAAACAUAAACUAAAAUAUAAAUAGUAUUUAUUUAGAACUUUCUUUUGUAUCAAAAAUUUAAAUUAAAUUUUAUAAGUUAAGUUAAAAUGAUAUUAUUAGUAUAUAGUGAUUUGAGAUCUUAAAAUAAAAUAAUAAAUGAAAUAUAAUUAAAUUUAUGGUAGUAUAGAGGAACUCGGCAAAUAUAAUUUCUUUGCCUGUUUAUCAAAAACAUGUCUGUUUGUAGAUAUAAAAAGUUUAACCUGCCCACUGACUUAAAAUAAGUUAAAUGGCCGCGGUAUUUUGACCGUGCAAAGGUAGCAUAAUCGUUAGGUUUUUAAUUGGAAUCUUGUAUGAAUGGUUGGACAAAAGAAAUUCUGUCUUUGUAUUAAAUAUAUAAUUUAACUUUUAAGUGAAAAGGCUUAAAUAGGUUAAAGGGACGAUAAGACCCUAUAAAGCUUGAUAUAAAAUUCUUAUUUAAUUGAAUUCAAGGUGUAUAAAAUUUUAGUAAUUAAAUUUAUUUUAUUGGGGCGAUAGAAGUAAAAUGAUUAAUAACUGCUUUUGUAAUUUUACAUUUAUUAGUGAAUAAAGCAUUUAAAUGAUCCUAGUUAAAGAUUAAAAGUUUAAGUUACUUUAGGGAUAACAGCGUUAUUUUUUUUGAGAGUACUUAUCGAAAAAAAAGUUUGCGACCUCGAUGUUGAAUUAAAAUUUCUC
rnacentral:rRNA from 1 species